rnacentral:lncRNA from 1 species
UUUAGUUUGGGGUAAACAGAGCACUUCCUCCUCCUCCUGUCCAGCUUACUGACAUGCAAGUGUCUCUCCAGGGCUGGGCUGGAAUUUCAAGCGUGCAGCGCCUCCCCCCCACCCCCCCAAUUCUUGGGAAGGCACAAGGUGGACAGCUUCCCUCGAUGGAGGUAACUGGAUACUGACUCUAUGGGAGAGCAGCGCUGGAAAGAGCAUGCUCAGAGUCUUCCUUAUGGCCCCAGUUGCCACCUCCCUCUAGUGACCCUCAGCCCUUUGGAACCAGCCGGCACUCUUUCCCACCUUGGCACCUACUACCGUCGGUUGGGCAGGCACUUCGGAGGGCACAAAAAUGAGUGAGAUGCUGUUCCAUCCUGCAAGGGGGUGACCAGGACUUAAAUUCUUACAAGGCCACUGUGUCAAAGUGGGUGUCGGCACAAGUUCCGG